rnacentral:ncRNA from 1 species
UGGCUCUGGAGAAUCCCUCACACGGGUGCCGAAGGUGCAAGGCGUGCCGCAAAGUGCGCUAAUCUCUCAGGCAAAAGGACAGAGUGG